AAUCCGAGUAGAGCGGCGCACGGGUGCGUAACACGUGGAUAAUCUGCCCUUGAAUUCGGGAUAACCUUCCGAAAGGUUGGCUAAUACCGGGUAAGCUCACGGUGACUUCGGUCGCUGUGGGAAAAGUAGACCUCUGUUUACAAGUUUACGUUUGAGGAUGAGUCCGCGGCCCAUCAGCUAGUUGGCGGGGUAAUGGCCCACCAAGGCUACGACGGGUAGCUGGUCUGAGAGGACGAUCAGCCACACUGGAACUGAGACACGGUCCAGACUCCUACGGGAGGCAGCAGUGGGGAAUUUUCCACAAUGGGCGAAAGCUUGAUGGAGCAACGCCGCGUGUGUGAUGAAGGUCUUCGGAUCGUAAAGCACUUUCGACCGGGACGAAAAACCUCUGGCUAACAUCCAGGGGCCUGACGGUACCGGGAGAAGAAGCACCGGCUAACUCUGUGCCAGCAGCCGCGGUAAUACAGAGGGUGCAAGCGUUGUUCGGAAUUAUUGGGCGUAAAGCGCGUGUAGGCGGCUUGGCAAGUCAGAUGUGAAAGCCCAUGGCUUAACCAUGGAAGUGCGUCUGAAACUGCUGAGCUUGAGUGCCGGAGAGGAUGGCGGAAUUCCGCAAGUAGAGGUGAAAUUCGUAGAUAUGCGGAGGAACACCGGUGGCGAAGGCGGCCAUCUGGACGGCAACUGACGCUGAGACGCGAAAGCGUGGGGAGCAAACAGGAUUAGAUACCCUGGUAGUCCACGCUGUAAACGAUGAGAACUAGGUGUCGUGGGUGUUGACCCCCGCG
rnacentral:rRNA from 1 species